AGAAAAGGAAAGGAUGAAAGGGAUGGGAGGGGGAAGACAGCUUACUAGUCCCUACUGUAAAGCUAUCAUCCAAUCCCUGUGUGAUUACUUUUUCUGGUCUCACUUCAUAGAAAUAUUUCACAGAAAAAGACAACUUCUCCUUGUGCUUCAAGCUGACUUCUGAUCACUUGCAUCAGAUUUACCUAACUGUUUUAUCCUGGGAGCAACGAGAUCUGACCUGAAAGUUCAUGUCAGCAGAAGCAGUCUUUCUGCCAGCUGCAUGUAUGGGGCAAACAACAAAGUGUUUGCAAGCUUGCAGGGGUUUGUUUUCCACAGCUCAAAAGCAUCCACUCCUGAACAGCUGACAGUAGCAGCUCUACUAAAGUGUCCCAAAGAACAAUCAAUUUGAAUUGUAAAAUAUCCCAUAAGACAGCUUUGCUCUCACUGUUACUGCCUCCUGCCCCAGAAUUCAAACCUAAUUGCAGGAACAUUUUGAGGAAGGAAAAUUCAAAGGAAUUUUCAGCACAAAUAUAUUGAAGAGUGACUUAUAAAUCACAAAUGGUUUAGGGGUUUGGCUGCCCUGUUUCUGUGCCUCACGAGCAUCAAUCCACCUUGCAGUCAGGCACUAUGGCUUCAGUGUCUGUAUGCUUUAUGAGCGCAUGCUGUGUUAGGUGCCUGGAGAUAAGGUAUGCAGAAGGCAAGGAAUUGAAAGACAAGUUAUAAGAAAUGCCUAAAAAGAGGGCUCAGGCCUGAGCAUCACACCUAUAAGCCUGCAAUUGCCUUUCCUCCAGCAAGGUACUCUUUUGUAGCCCUGCUGUUACCAAGGUCCUCACUUACCUCUUUGCUCUGGAGAAUUACAACCCUUCAAACACCGUCUAUAUCUUUAAGACUCUCAGCCUGGCGCUUGACCUCACACUGUGGUGACAGGUCCAAAGUACCAGUCUCCACACUCGAUGCAAAUGCAGUGGUGGAAGACAUCAAGCUGAUGAGAGCUGGAAGGGCUAUGGUAAGGGGAAGACUUGUUUACCAGAGGCUGGAUUACUCAGGCUCUAACAUGAAUGUCAUAAAGAUGCCACCCAUCUGAAAUGUCCUGUCCAGUAUGAAAUAUAUGUUCACUUUGAUGCUUAGACCUUCAAACACAAUCCCACAAUGAUCUAUCCUGCCAUGUAAGCUUUAAGGCUGAACUUCAAUUUGUUUUCCACAGAAAAAUGAAAACAUGAUAUUGUCCUGACAGAACUUCCUGAAGUACAUGCAACCAUCCUUGUGCCUGAAUACCUGACCAUUUACAGGAAGUGUUGAUUGGUUUGAGGUAGUGACAAGGUAAGUGAGGAAAUUUUUUAAUGCAUAAUUAUAUUUUUUCUAAUGCAUACUUUCUAUU
rnacentral:lncRNA from 1 species